UACGGGGGGGGCAAGCGUUGUUCGGAAUUACUGGGCGUAAAGGGCUCGUAGGUGGCCAACUAAGUCAGACGUGAAAUCCCGAGGCUCAACCUCGGGUCUGCAGUCGAUACGGGCAAACUGGAGUGUUGCAGGGGAGACUGGAAUUCCUGGUGUAGCGGUGAAAUGCGCAGAUAUCAGGAGGAACACCGGUGGCGAAGGCGGGUCUCUGGGCCGAUACUGACGCUGAGGAGCGAAAGCGUGGGGAGCGAACAGG
rnacentral:rRNA from 1 species